ACUCCCUACGGGAGGCAGCAGUAGGGAAUCUUCCACAAUGGGCGGCAAGCCUGAUGGAGCAACACCGCGUGAGUGAAGAAGGGUUUCGGCUCGUAAAGCUCUGUUGUUAAAGAAGAACACGUAUGAGAGUAACUGUUCAUACGUUGACGGUAUUUAACCAGAAAGUCACGGCUAACUACGUGCCAGCAGCCGCGGUAAUACGUAGGUGGCAAGCGUUAUCCGGAUUUAUUGGGCGUAAAGAGAGUGCAGGCGGUUUUCUAAGUCUGAUGUGAAAGCCUUCGGCUUAACCGGAGAAGUGCAUCGGAAACUGGAUAACUUGAGUGCAGAAGAGGGUAGUGGAACUCCAUGUGUAGCGGUGGAAUGCGUAGAUAUAUGGAAGAACACCGAGUGGCGAAGGCGGCUACCUGGUCUGCAACUGACGCUGAGACUCGAAAGCAUGGGUAGCGAACAGGAUUAGAUACCCCGUGGUAGGAUAGCG
rnacentral:rRNA from 1 species